GGAUAGCAGCAGAUGGUACCUCAUCUUUGGCUCUGGAACUAAACUGUCUGUAACAGAUGAGCAGCAUCCAGAGCCCACCUGGAGGGGAACAGCUCCCUGCUGUGUGUGGCCUCAGCCAUGUUUCCUCCUCUGGUCCAGUUCUCCUGGAAAAGACAGAAGAAGAACGGCGGAGAAGCGGAGGAGCUGCCCCCUGCUGAGGGAGAGCAGCUGGAGCUCAGAGAGGCGGGACGCACCAUUGCCAUCAGGAUGGUUGAUGGGAGCCAUUCUGACACAUAUAAAUACAGCUGCUGGGUGAAGCACGAGGGGGGCACAGUGGAGGCCCGAACACAACAAGAGCUUCCAGCUCCAGCAGCCUCCUGUCCUCCAGAGAGAGAGCCAGCAGACCUGCCAGCUCUGCAGCCAGC
ensembl:lncRNA